rnacentral:rRNA from 1 species
AUGGCCGCGCUCCUCUCCCGUCCGCCUCGGCGCCUCAUCCGCUUCCCCAAGCCCCAAACCCUCCUCUACCCGGCAUUGACCCCGCCUUCCCCUCCCCACGAUCUCCCGGCGAGCAUCCUGCCGCUGAGAUUCAGAGAGUCGGGAUGGAGUGCGCCGCCGCAGUGGCAGCUGUGGCAGCGCGCCCUGUGCACACACUCCGACCCUCGGAGCUCCGGCACCUGCGACGCUGGCCUGGCCGCUGCUGCAGGCGCAUCGCCCGACGUCGCCCAGGUGUCCGGCGUGGGCGCCAACGGAGCGCACCAGACGGCCGCCGAGAAAGGAGAUCCUGAGACUAGUGUGUGUAGCAAGGCCAUUAAAAUCAUGACGUACAAUGUGUAUUUCGGGCAGAACAUGGAACUGCACAGUAGAAUUCCUGCUAUUGGAGAUAUUAUUCAGCACCACAGCCCAGAUCUUAUAUGCCUCCAGGAGGUUACACCAGAGAUAUAUGGGCUUCUUGAAAAAUCCGACUGGUGGGCAGAAUACAAAUGCUUCAUGCCACGUGAGAUGGCAUAUUAUAUAGAAGCGGAAAAGGUCCGUUCCAAUAUGGUGAGACCAUUCAUGAAAAAGAAAAGAAAUAUGAGAUCAUAUUUCUGCAUGCAGAUGAGCAAAUUGCCAGUGGAUUCUUUCCGCGGUGUUCCAUUUUCCAAUUCAGCAAUGGGAAGGGAGCUGAGCAUGGCAAAUGGCACAAGCCACCUAGAGAGCCCGCGCCGUGAGGCUCCUUGGUGGGAUCACAACAUGAGCAGAAACAAGCGAGCCGCUCAGGCAAAGGAAUCCCUCAUGUUGUUGGGAGGAAGAGGAUCCCGCAACGUGAUAUUCUGCGGGGACAUGAACUGGGACGACAAGAUAGACGGGCCCUUCCCUCUGCCAGACGGCUGGGUUGACGCCUGGGCUGAGCUGAAGCCAGGUGAAGGUGGCUGGACGUACGACACGGUGGCCAACGCCAUGCUGUCUAAAGGGUACAAGAAACUACAGCUGAGGCUGGAUCGGUUCGUGUGCAAGCUGCCGGAUUUCGAGGUCCAAAAGGUGAAGGAAUUCAGCCAUAAGUCAAAGUCUGGAAAGAAAUUCAGCGGGACGUGGGAGUGGAUGCUGCCUGUGCUGCCCAGCGACCACUUUGGGCUCGUCUUGACGAUCGCCCCUCGGGAUGGAAGCAGUGCUCCGUUAGAGUAA